rnacentral:lncRNA from 1 species
UUUUUUUUUUUUUUUAAUGUAGUAACCUCUACUAAAGUAAUAUUUUAAAAUUCUCCCAAUGUCCCAGUGACAUUGCAAAUCAUUGCUUUUUAGGCUGCAGUUGCUUUCCAAAUUGGCCAGAACAAGACUCUGACAAAAGAAAAGAAAACAAAAAACAAACCUGCAAAUAGCUUUUUCAAAGCAGCUAUUAUUAGGAAAAAGAAAAACAAAAAGCAAAAAAAAUAAAAGAGUAGUUGGGAGAUACAGUUAAGGAAUAUUUAAAGCACUUGUACAGCUUGUAAAAUUUAAAAUUACCAGUGUUUUAGAAUAUCUUUUCACUUACUUACAUAGCAAUCCAUUAGAUGAGCAAUGCAGUAUAGAGGUAAAUGUCAUCUGUGCUUUUAGAGCUACCUGGAAGAUUUCAUUCUGAUAUAGGUUUCAGAUGACAAAAUAUCUUUCCAGAAAUUAUUCUUUGGGAUCUUUGUAGGUAGGAGCAAAUUGAAGCAAAGGAAAUUGCCAGAAGUUUGGGGUUCUAACUCUUGCUACAAGAAACUUGUCGGGUGAAAUGUUGCUGUUUCUGCCUGCAGUUGGUGCAAACCACGUGCAAGGAACAUUUCAAAUACCAAAUACCAGUCUUCAUAAAUGUGAGACAAACAUUUUUUCUUCUCUACAGUCUGCAAAGUCUGUUUUCCCCUGACAGCCAGAUAUGCCCAAAUACUUUUAGCUAUUGUAAUAAUUGCCUGAAGGAUACACCAAACCCAAUAUACCAAUACACCAAAAAAACCCCAUGUUUUUCUCUCAUUCUCUCCCUCUUUUUUCUUGUCUCAGAUAAUCUUUCCUAUUCCCCAAUAAAGCAAUAGAAAGGAUUUUUUGUGUGUGCGUAUUUCCCCUGUGGUCACUUGUGGGUGGGCAUAAAUUAAGUUAUUAUUGCUGUCAUGCUGCUCCCUCAAGGGAGGGAUUAAACCAAAUUUGAAACCCAGGAAAGGUCAAGCAAAGGAAAAUGUGGCACCUGUACAUUAGCUGAAAGUGCAUGCUGACCUUCCACAUGACAUGUCAAACACCAGCUGUGCUGUACAAAUUCUAGUUCCUAAGCACCAUUCAGCAAAGGCUCGGAGUGGAUUUUUUUAUGCCAGUUACUUUUCACUUCAUUGUGCAAUGCAGUAUUUACUUCCAUAGCCUCACAGUCAGCUGUUUUCUAAUUCUGUAAUUCAAGGUAAGUCAAUAAAUGGUUUUUGGAGAGGAAAAUCAUUACAAUCAUUACAAAUAAAUGCUCUCUUUCAACAUGCAUAGAUGGGCAAUGGUUUUCAAGAGGAAGAGUGUGAACAAUACAAGUAGAUAUAACCCUAAAAUUAAUCACAAAAUUUAGGCAAUAGGGUUCAACUUUCUGAGUUAAAAUGCUCCUUUACAUGGGGAUUUAGUAAGGUCCCUGCAUCUGAAGCAUCUCAAAUUCCUGAAGAGACCUUUUGAGCACUGGAGCCUGUCAUGACCUUUCUGGUCCCUGCCAAAUUUAUAAACCUAGUUUUAUUGCCUCUGCACCUUCAUGUAGCUAGAAAGCCUCACCAGACUCCACAGGCAGUCAUGCUCGAAUCUCCCCAUCUUCCACAACAUGGGAAGACAUCAAGAAAAAUUUUAAGUAGUAAACCAUGGUGUUUCAUCGUUGCCAAUUCUGUCCCCAGUGUAGUGACUGCUGUGUGACAUGCUACAUAAUAUGCCCAGGCCUUAUUCCACACUGCUUGGCAUUUUCUGCAGAGACUCCUUUGGAGGUGGUGAAAAAUACCCAGAUCACUACCUCUGCAGUGCUUUUGAUUAAUUUUGUCCCAUUAUAAAUGGCACUCAGAGGUGCUGAAUAAAGGACAUUUGUCACCUUCUAUAUGGACAUAAUAAUACUUAGAUCUCGUUCAAGUUCAACUGCUUACAUGCAAGAUGUCAUGGUAUCUAGAGUUCUUCAAUAAGUCAAUUUCCUCACAAGUUCAAACUAAAAGAAAAAUUAAAAAAAGAAAUGUUAUUCAUGGCCUGCCUGUAUACUUCAGUAAGGCAUUAUUUAGGGUGGAUCUCAACCUUUUCUAGACUUCCUCUUUACCGUUCAAAACUGUAAAUCUGUUAUAAUCCUCCAAAUUAGUACACAAUUAGCUGGAUAACUAGCGCCAGCCUUCUUAAUUCCUACCUUUCAGAUAGUGGAGAAAUGUGAAUUUUCUUGAAACACAACCCAUGAUCCUUAACUGAAAAGGAAUGCAAAACAAUCACCAUGUCAUCCAACUGAUCAAAUGGAUUCCUUUCUCGUGUAUGCAUAAGUGUGUUUUCAAGCAGGUAAUUUUGUGUUUUAAGGAGAGAGGAAGGAUAUUAUGUGUUCACCAAUGGGGUAUCACCUGCCACUUUAUAGCUGGUCUCAGGUAACCUCUGUAAGACCCUUCUGCCAAAACACUUUUCUCUUGACAGUAAAUAGGCUUCGCUGCUGUGUUCAGUAGAGCUGGAGUUAGAUCUCAUCCUUGUCAUCAUCACAUUAAAGUGCCUCUAGAACAAAACUUUAAUAUCCUGUGGGGCAUUUCUAUACCUAUAUUUUCUAAGGUGAUUUCCAUAUACAUCAGCCCAUAAAACAAAUUCCAUAAUAACAUGUUUUCAAGGAGAUUUGUGUUCUUAGGCACUCAACUGGGGGAACAUGAUUUCAUGACGGAUACAUGAUAUAUAUAUCUUUGUCAGAAAAGGGCUUGAGCUGAUUAGUUUAACCCAGGUUGGAGCUUGCACAGUCCAAAGUUCAGCUUGGCACUUGGUUUUGGUCCUAACCCAAAUCUCACCAAAUUUCCCCAUCACUCACUUCCCCCUUUGCUUUGGUGUAGGUGGUUCAGACUCUGAGUAUCUAGCACAUGUUCACAAACAACUAAGUGGUACUUCUUCCUCCAUCUGAAAUUUGCAAGUAAUGCAUGCAUUUUUCACCUGGUUUUCACAGAUGUUCUUCAGCUCUGGCAGACACACCGUCCACAAUAUUUUUAUACACCAAAGCUUGUUGCAGUGAUGUUUCAAUAUCAUCUGCAAACUGGCUGCAGAGGUCAGGCUAUUAUUGAAAACAGUGUUAGAGUUCAAAUCCCAAAUUCUAUAACUGUAUAAUUCUAAUUAUUAUGAUGCUUUCUACACUAAGAACUUUUGUUAUCCUCUUCACUGUCCUGAGGUGUUCAUAUUUCAUUUAGCUGGUGUGAUAACGAAGUCAGGCUGUGUUAUCUGAAAUAAAAUGAUGCCAAUCCAUGGCUGAGCAACAAGGAAAAGUAAAGCUGCCUUCUGAUUCUCUGGGUGAGUGACAAGAUAGGGUAAAGAAACUCUUUUUAGCUCAUGUGUUUCUCUGUAGAGGCCUGACUACCCUGAAAAUCCCUGAUGGCUGAUUUGAGAGAGCAGACUGAGCUGUCACGAUGAAGGAAUAAGGUCCCAUAUUCUCCUGAGCAGCUUUAGAAAUGCCCCACCGAUGGAUUCAUGGAUUUGGCACUUUGGUUUACACCCAGCAACUGCUGUAGGUAGACAUCCGACGCUGCACGCAGGGGUAAACUCGGCAAAAUAGGAAUCACUAUAAUUGUAGUUCAGCAUGGUGCUACAGCUGAGCCCAGUUCAGUGGAGUGUGUGCAUCCAUAGGACACCUCCCUGCACAGCGCUGAUUUUCUUCCUCCUCUUUCACACAUGCUCUUAAAUAUCCUACUGAACUCCUGACACCGUCUCCACCAUUCCUUUGCUGAGUGAUCUCCCCUCAUACAUAUUUACAAGUCUUGUCUGCAUAUACCUUCUCAAUUGUUUGCCAAUGAUUUCCUAGUCUCAGCGAGGCUUUUAGCGUUGGGAGUCAGACUUUCCCCUCUGGCAUCAACAAGGGCAGAGUCCAGCAAAAAGCCACUCAGUCAGCAGUUCGCAGAGUAUCAGCAAGGCAAUUAACCUAAUGCCAGAAACGAUAGAUAACAUGCCCAGCCCUUGCCUGUUCCGCCCAUAUUUUACUGCUGAAGAAUUGCCAUUGCAUUCAUUGCUACGUAGUUUACUGAACCUUCACUUAAUCCUUAUCCCUAGCUGAGGAUUCACAAUAUGCAAUUACUUUCUAUUAUCUUGGAUUUGCAGAAGGUAAUUACAUGAACAAGCACCAGUGACUGGGAUAAGCAGAUGAUACAGCUGACACGUAGGCCUUCCUGAUAUGAAGCCUGUAUUGCCAUUUCAUGUCAUGAGUGGGGCUUCCUUUUUAGUGGUCCACCAGCUAUCUCUCCUUUUUCAGUGCCCUUCAGACAGCUUUUCUUAAGGGAGGCUUUUUUCCUGAGCAAGUCCUCCAAAGAGGAAAACCGAGAGGAGCCGCAGUCCCUGUCUGGGUGUUGCAUGCUGAGAGAAAGGCAAUCUGUGGCAGUGGUAAGGACUGUUUGUCAGAAGAGUGUCUUUGACUCUGGAGUCUUCCUCCCGUUCCCUCUCUGCCAUCUCUCUCCCCUGAGGAGUCAUUUCCAACUGUUCUUAGCACUUUGCAGGGAGAAUACAAGGUGAUAAGCCCACACUAACUGAUUGCAACUUCUACAGUCCCAAAAGCUGUAAAGGAGCCAUGGCAUUAGCAUCCUUUUUUUUUGAAGAGGAAAAAAAAAAAGGAAAACAAAAAGAACAAUAUUCUGGAUGACUGUAACCCCUGAAAAACUCAGCAGGACCUGUGUCAGAAUCCAUCCAAAUGCAUAGGGAUAUUUCAGUUUCAAAUUAUUUACACAGAUCUGGGUCUAGCUAAGAGAGAUAUGUGGAGACACCAUGUAAAAGUACUGUAUAACUGACAAGAAUAUUUAAAAAGUACUUCACAGAUUUCCUUUUCAGCAGUAACUAUGAGCUUCUAAAGUGACAGUUCCUGAGGGAAUGAGCAUCUACAAAGUCUGGAUGCAAAAUUCAUUAUACCUGUUUUUCACAAGCAAAAAUUUGCACACUUCUUGGUUUUUAUUUGGCAGCAAGAAGAGAUGAGGUCACUGAGUAGACAAAAAUAACUAUCAAGCCACUAGAGAAGCUGCAGGUUAGUUUGUGAUUCCCACUGAUGUAAGAAAUCAUACUUAAUUCCUGUAGACAGUGCCCUUGUACCACAUGCAACCAGCAAAUUCUAGUGCUCCCCCAGUGCUCCUGACCAUAGAGUCAUAGAAACACAGAAUUAGAGAAUCAUAGAAUGCCAGGUUGGAAGGGACUUCAAGGAUCCUCUGGUCCAACCUUUGUAGGCAAAAGCACAGUCUAGACAAGAUACCUUGCCCAGCUGAAUAUUAGAGUUUUCCAGUGUUGGGGAAACUACCACUUCCUGAGGGAGAUUUUUCCAACGGCUGAUUAUUCUCACUGUGAAAAAUUUUCCUCUUGUGUCCAAUCAGAGUAUUUCCAGGUGUAACUUUUAUCUAUUAUCCCUUGUCUUUUCCAUGGGACUCCUUUUAAAAACAGGAGUCUUUAUCCUCCUUGUAGCUACCCUUUAAACAGUGGAACAUGGUGAUUAGGUCUCCUCUAAGCCUUCUUUUCUCCAGGCUGAACAAACCCUGUUGUCUCAGCUUUUGCUCACGUGGCAAGCUUCCCAGUCCUUUGGCCUUCUUUGUGGCCCUUCUCUGGGACUGUCUCUCACCUGUCCACAUCUUUAGUGUUAAUUCUUAGCUCUGGAAGGGUUUUUCCUGUGCCUAACAUGGCCAUUUUUCUACUGAUGUAGGGAGAGCUCUGCAGAAGAUUGUAAGGAUCCUGAGCACACAAGCCCCUACAGGGAAGACAGCAUUUACAUCUCAUAAUUUAAUACAGAGAUAUAGAUAUAACCAAUUUUUUUUUCCCAGAUGCCUGGUUAGGACAGCCAAAAAAAA